CGCCAAAGUGCUGCUGAUUUUUCUUUUCACUGUCUUGCUGGCCUUAUCAAACUCUGCUGAGCAAGAAACUCAGCAACAACCUAGUGAUGAACGUCCUGGUCUGUGUGCCAGUAGAUUCUCAGGUGCCAAAUAUCCUGCAACUAAGGAAAACGCUUUCAAUUCAAAGGAUUUCUUAAUCUGCAAAUCUGUAUGUACUAAAGAUAACGACUGCAACUUUCCAAUGAAAUGUUGCCCAGUGAAUAAUAAAUGCAAGACGUGUCAACAUCCCAUAAUUUACUAAUUAUACCUCAGUCUUUUGGAAAGUAGUAAGCACAAAUGCUGGAUGAAGAUAUGGGACCAAAAAGUGGAGCCAUAGAAUUUCUUUCCAGACAUUGCCAUUUUACAAAUUUCUGUUCUCAUCAAUUUUAAUCAAUGAAAAACUUCACACUAUUAAACAAACCAGCAUCUGUUAGCAAGUCUUCGGUUUCUUUUUUUGAUGCUAAUAUUUCUGAAUCCUCUGUUGGUCUUCUGAACAAACUUCUGGACAAAUGGAUAAUUGACUUUGUAAGAAUUCUGGACAAUAAUGAAUUAGUGGGAGAACCCUAAACUUAUUCCCUCCUCUGUCUAGAUGCAAAAAAAAAAAAUCUUAUAGACAGACUUUGCCUUUAAAGCUAUCCAAGCAUUUUCUUUUUCUGAUAGAAAAAAGAAGGUAUCAGAAUUCUAUUUCAUUCCUGCUUUUCCCUCAUCUUAUUUUUGUAACUAUAACUUAAUUUUAAAAUAAAUAUUUUAGGGAUGCCUUUUGAAAAUAAUGUUAUGAAGACAAGUUACCAUUUUGGAAUAUAUUCUUAUACUUCACAAAAUGCUUCUAUGUCAAAAAGAAAAGAUUAAUUCUGCCUAACAAAGCAAUGUAUUGACCCUGUCUUAUAGUAUAUGAAGUUCUCCACUUCUUUGCUAAAUAUAUGGAGACAUAAUUCAUGAACAGGCCUCUGAAAUCAAGACUUUGGAUGCCUUUCCUUGUUGAUUACCUUGACAUUAUUAUAGCUUUUUGCUUGAAUUGUUUUCUUGGUUCUGCUUACUUUCUUUUGUUUCAGGGCAUACAAGAUUUCCUGUUUCUGGAAGUCUCCCAUAUUUGUUAUGACUCAUAGAGCAUAAUAUUCCAUGAUAUUCAUGUAACAGAAUUUGUUCAGAUACUCCUCAAUCUUGUUUCUAGUUCUUUUCAAACACAGGAAAUACUAUUAUAAAUGUACCUUUCCCUUUGUCUUUGAUUUUCUGGUGAUCUAUGUGCAUUAGUAUUUCUUGGUCUUUCCCCUAUUCUCUCCUAAGCCUGUGAGUAGAAAUGGGGUUAAGUGAGGUUAAGAUAUCUCUGAAUAUAUGCUACAUUGUGUGCCUAAGUAGAGAUCUAAGAAGGAAUUAGCAGGGACUGGGGAGGAUGCUCGAAAAUUCUUUGCUCUCUUUUUUAUGAUUAAAAAGUAUGCAUAUGCUUUUAAUUCCGAAUUUAAUAGCACUAGAGAAUUCUGGGAAGAUGAUAGAAUAAGGAAGAAAAUUAUCUGGUCCUCCCAAAUUCCCCCAAGAAAUAAUCUAAAAUGAUGCAUCAAAGUGAACUUUAGAGUAACAACAAUAAUGUAAAUUUGGCAUAGAUAGUUGUUCAACCUAAGACAAGUUGGGAGGACUUUAGGAAAGAUCUGACCUCUCUGGGUAGUGGUCUGGUCUGAUAAAAUUUCAAAUAUACCAAAAUAAUAUGGAAAAUCGAAAGAAUGUAAAAAUAGAUGAAAUCGUGAAUUAUAUUAUUAGAAAAACAAAUAAUAUGGAAAACAGAAUUAUAAGAGACAAUAUAAGAUUACUGAAGACAAAAUUAAAGUUAAAAAGGAUUUAAUUAAAUGAGGUAAACAAAAAA